UUUCACUCGAUUUCAGAUGAUGAUAUGGUUGUUGCCAUUGGCUUCUACCUUCGUGUGUGAUUCUCUCGAGGCCAAACGAUCUACAUGCGCAGCCGAUGCUGGCGCCGUAAUCGCCGCUGACUUCCCAAGAAGCAGAACAACAGCUUGAACGACCACGAGGAGCCCCUUGGACAGAAUCGCCGGCGCCGGUAGCGUGGAAGAAAGCUCCCAUUGAGCAGGCCUAUGCUGCGAAAGCAAAUCAACUAUAAAACUUUGGUGACCGAAACAACGAUUUAUAAAAUUAGUCACCCUUGACUGUUUAUUAUGCAAGUUAUUUUUACGCGUACGUCGAUAUAGAAUGCCACGUGUCUUUGGCAAGACGGGGGGCAGACCAAAGAGCACACAAUCAACUGACCCAUUGGGAUGAGUUUCAUUCGCAAAGGUAAGCUGUUUUAUUAUAUCAGCUAUGCAAGCAGUACAGAACACUCGAAAUAGAAACAGCUAAAUAACAUUGAAGAAAAAGACAAGCACGGAUCACUUAAGCUACUUGCUGCUGCACCCCUUUGAAAUGAUUCACUUUCAUACCGUUUGUGAUAUUUAGAGUAAUUGUAUAAAAUGUGUGAAGCCUUGGAUAUCUAGUUGGAAUUUCGUGAUGAGGCCUAGUAUACUUAGUAGACUUUAACGAACUUCGUACCGUUUGGAUUUGUAUACUAGUCUAAUUAGCAAUAGACGUUGGACGUCUGAUCCAAAUACCUUGGAACUCUAUAACUCAUUCUAUAUAUUCAAUGGUUUUAGUUAACACUGAUAGAUAGCUGAUUGCAAGAUCAUCUUCUGUUAUCUUUUUCAUGUCGACCGUGAAUCUUCACGUAUGUAGUUCUAUUCUAAAGCACGCUCUUUUUCUACACAUACUUCUGACGAUAUUUAUAACUUUGUACACAACAAACCUAAACUACAUUCGAAUUCUGAAAUUAAGAUAAUUUCAAUAAAGUCAAAAUAAGUCAAUAAAGAAUUACCCGAGUUUUUCUUUUUAACAACACAGUCCACUGUAAUAGACUGAGCAAAAAUGAUUUAUCAUCAUCGUUAUGAUAACAAUAACAAUUGUUCAUUAAAGAAAAGUCUAUUUUCCGCCCACAUUUUCGUUCUCAGCAUCUCUUGCCCUGUUGCUCUGUCUCAGCUCACUGUCGCUACACUCCCGUAUUCGGGUAGCUUGUUGUUGUUGUUGUUGUUGUUGUUGUUGUUGUUGUUGUUGUUGUU